CAAAUGAACUUAAGUUUAGCGGCGGACGGGUGAGUAACACGUGGGUAAUCUACCCUAUACUGGGGGAUAACGUAGAGAAAUUUACGCUAAUACCGCAUAAGCUUACAGGGAGGCAUCUCUCGGUGAGAAAAGAUUUAUUGGUAUAGGAUGGGCCCGCGUCUGAUUAGCUGGUUGGUGAGGUAACGGCCCACCAAGGCGACGAUCAGUAGCCGGUCUGAGAGGAUGGACGGCCACAUUGGGACUGAGACACGGCCCAGACUCCUACGGGAGGCAGCAGUGGGGAAUAUUGCACAAUGGGGGAAACCCUGAUGCAGCGAUGCCGCGUGAAGGAUGAAGUGUUUCGGCAUGUAAACUUCUAUCAGCAAGGAAGAAUUCGGACAGUACUUGACUAAGCAGCCCCGGCUAACUACGUGCCAGCAGCCGCGGUAAUACGUAGGGGGCAAGCGUUAUCCGGAAUUACUGGGUGUAAAGGGUGCGUAGGCGGCACAUUAAGUCAGCUGUGAAACCCCGGUGCUCAACACCGGGCUUGCAGUUGAAACUGGUGAGCUAGAGUACAGGAGGGGAAAGCGGAAUUACUAGUGUAGCGGUGAAAUGCGUAGAUAUUAGUAAGAACACCGGUGGCGAAGGCGGCUUUCUGGACUGAAACUGACGCUGAGGCACGAAAGCGUGGGGAGCAAACAGGAUUAGAUACCCUGGUAGUCCACGCUGUAAACGAUGAAUGCUAGGUAUAGGGAACGCAGGUUCUCGGUGCCGCAGUUAACGCAAUAAGCAUUCCACCUGGGGAGUACGACCGCAAGGUUGAAACUCAAAGGAAUUGACGGGGCCCCGCACAAGCGGUGGAGCAUGUGGUUUAAUUCGAUGCAACGCGAAGAACCUUACCAAGUCUUGACAUAGGGAUGAAGAUGCAGAGAU
rnacentral:rRNA from 1 species